rnacentral:rRNA from 1 species
AUUGAACGCUGGCGGCAGGCCUAACACAUGCAAGUCGAACGGUAACAGGAAGCAGCUUGCUGCUUUGCUGACGAGUGGCGGACGGGUGAGUAAUGUCUGGGAAACUGCCUGAUGGAGGGGGUUAACUACUGGAAACGGUAGCUAAUACCGCAUAACGUCGCAAGACCAAAGAGGGGGACCUUAGGGCCUCUUGCCAUCGGAUGUGCCCAGAUGGGAUUAGCUAGUAGGUGGGGUAACGGCUCACCUAGGCGACGAUCCCUAGCUGGUCUGAGAGGAUGACCAGCCACACUGGAACUGAGACACGGUCCAGACUCCUACGGGAGGCAGCAGUGGGGAAUAUUGCACAAUGGGCGCAAGCCUGAUGCAGCCAUGCCGCGUGUAUGAAGAAGGCCUUCGGGUUGUAAAGUACUUUCAGCGGGGAGGAAGGGAGUAAAGUUAAUACCUUUGCUCAUUGACGUUACCCGCAGAAGAAGCACCGGCUAACUCCGUG